rnacentral:lncRNA from 1 species
CAGCCACAGUUUAUGGCAGACAACCAUUUUAAAUCUUACAAUAUCAACAUAUUUUAUCUUUUAAUAACCACAAAUAUAUAUCUUUUAAUACCACAAAUAUACACAAUUUAUCUUUAAAAGUUAAAGUAAGAAAGCUAAAGUUGAACCCCCCCCCCCAACAUAAAAGCCAACAGAUGACAUACAAAGGCUAGAAAUAUAGAGAUAUCUCAAAAAGUUUAGUAACUCAUAAAUCAUAUAAGGUACUGUAAAUGCCCCUAUAAAAUGAAGAGGAAAAAAGUCAGACUUCUUCUCUGGUUCCAAGGGAGGACCAAAAAAAUUAUAUAGGAUUUUCCAGGUGAGGGGUGGGGAGCCAAGACAUAGAAAGCAAAGAGGCUUAGGCUUCAAAUGAAGGGGGAAAAGGACAACUAAAAACCAAGGAAAGCCCUGCAGUCAUGACAGGAAAAGAAUUAGCAAUUUCCCACACUAACCCAGAGUCUCUGAGAAUUCAUUCUAACAGGUAGGUUAAUGCAAAAGGCAGCCAGAAGGAGUGGAAUUGCAGGGCUUUGAAAAAGAAACAACAUACUUUGGGAGUGGGGAUAAAUCUAACCUUUGUACGAAUAAAAAUAAAAUAAAAAAUUAUUGGAAAAAACAUUCUACACCUUUCUUGUUUGCGUAUGCGAUAGAUAUUGCCUAUAACAUCUUCCUGGGGUGUUUUUCAAUUUUACUAAUCUCUUCUGGUUCUGCGACAGUUCACCCCAAUAUAGCUAGUGAAGUCACGACUGCAGGAGUCAUAUGCAGGCGCCUCCACUGCAGCCCCAGCUCCUCAGGGGACCUCCAGGGGGCGCCGCUCCGAGAGCACGUUCUCACCUCUGUCAGGGCUCUUCUUGCUGAGUCUUUCCUCUGGCGCUCUCAGGUCCUUCCGUCUCGUCUGAGAACGGGACUCUCCUGGGCAGAGGGCCCAGGCCUGACAAGGGGUCCAGGGGAGCUGAUGUCAGCCCCGGGGCCUUCGAGGCCCCCUUCCUCCAGAUUCACCCUCUUACCGGAAGGAUGGAAGCUUUGUCUGAGAUCAUGAUCGCUACACCUGCCUGUGCAUUUACCUGCCUCAGAUGUGUUUCUUGUAAACAACAUAUAGUAGGAUUUUGGUUUUUAAUCUACUCUUCUAUCUGAUUCCAUUUUAUGGGUGAGUUCAACAUAUUCACAUUUACAGUUAUAAUUACCAUCUGUGUAUUCUCCUCUAUCUUGAUUUCCUCUUUUAAUUCUGCCCUUUUUCCUUUCACUUUUCCCCUCCACACCAGUGUUUUGCUUUUAAUCACUUCCCCCUUCCUCCUUCCUAAUUUUAUUUCCCUUCCAACCACCUUUAGGAAAGGGUAGUGUUGAAUACUCAAAGGCAGAAAUACUUUCUAGGAACAUAGAAGGCUCAAAAAGGCCUAGUUACCCUCCCACUCUGAGAUGGUAUGAUAUGAGAAUUACAAAGACAUUAGGGUUUCAGUAACUACUAUUUGUUUAAUGCUAGGGCCCUUUAUCAUCCUAGCAUAAAUGAAAGAAAGAGUAAAACUUCUUAGACUAAGAAAUGAGGUUGUUGGGAUUCAGAAGGGGCUAUCAUAGAGACUCCAAAGCCCUAAAUGGAUUUUCUGAACUCAACAUAAAAAACAAAACAAAUAAACAAAAAACAUUUAUUUAAUAGUUGUGGGUA